CAUAUGAAGGAAAGGCAUUUUAUCUUUCAAGCUAAAUAUCGUAUACUGUGGUCUGUGCAUCUUUUUCUUCCUCCUCUUCUUCUCUCCCGAAACUCAACAGCUCUGAGUUAAUAAAUCCUGGUUCCAACCAUUCCACUUCCAAUUGAGUUUGGAAUUCUUGCGGAAGAUAAGAGUUUACGUUUCACCUCUUUAGUUGGCUUUGAAAGGAAAAUAUAGAUAAAGUACAGAGAGGAGAGUUCAGAGAGUGUCCUGCAGAGUUACUGCAACUAGAAAGGCAAUAUUAUGGGCAUUGAAGAUUCUGAUAUUAGGACUUUUUUAUAAGGAGGCUUCUUCCAUGGCAUCAAGAAUUUAACAUAUGGGGUGGAUAUUGAUUGAAUGAGAUUGAUGGGCAUACUGCAGAUCGAAAUCAAGCUCCAGACUCAAGCAAAACGAAAGGCAAAGGCAAAGUAGUUGAGUAAUCAGAUUUGCGUUUUGGGAUAUAAUAGUGAGGUAAGACAGGUAAAAGCAAAGACUAGCCGAGUAAGGAGUGCAACAG